rnacentral:rRNA from 1 species
UACAGAGGUCUCAAGCGUUGUUCGGAUUCAUUGGGGGUAAAGGGUGCGUAGGCGGCGCGGUAAGUCGGGUGUGAAAUUUCGAGGCUUAACUUCGAAACUGCAUUCGAUACUGCCGUGCUUGAGGACUGGAGAGGAGACUGGAAUUUACGGUGUAGCGGUGAAAUGCGUAGAUAUCGUAAGGAAGACCAGUGGCGAAGGCGGGUCUCUGGACAGUUCCUGACGCUGAGGCACGAAAGCGUGGGGAGCAAACAGG